UACGUAGGGUGCAAGCGUUAAUCGGAAUUACUGGGCGUAAAGCGUGCGCAGGCGGUUGUGUAAGACAGAUGUGAAAUCCCCGGGCUCAACCUGGGAACUGCAUUUGUGACUGCACGGCUAGAGUGUGUCAGAGGGGGGUAGAAUUCCACGUGUAGCAGUGAAAUGCGUAGAGAUGUGGAGGAAUACCGAUGGCGAAGGCAGCCCCCUGGGAUAACACUGACGCUCAUGCACGAAAGCGUGGGGAGCAAACAGG
rnacentral:rRNA from 1 species